rnacentral:lncRNA from 1 species
CUGUUUGUUUCUACAGCCAAAUUUGUUUCUUGUGCAGCUUGGUUGUUUCGCACUAUGUCGGUUAUAUAUUUGAUAAAUGAUGGAAAUAUGUGGACUUUUAGAACUAUUGAACAAUAACUACACAAAUGGACUAAGCUUAAAAUGUAUGGCUAAGUAUUCAGAACUUUUGUCCCGUCAAAACCUUCACGAAAAAUGGAAACUGGAUAUUGUAAACAUGCCAAAAUUGCGAACUUUUAAAUGUCUUGUAACAAACUUUGAAACACAGCAGUACAUAACCACUUAAAUGACGCGACAACAGAGAUCGUCUUUAGCCAGAAUGGGUUGUGGAACUUUUCCAUUGGAAUCAGAACUUGGACGUUAUAGUG